AGAGGGGGCAAGCGUUGUUCGGAAUUACUGGGCGUAAAGGGCGCGUAGGUGGCCUGUUAAGUCGAACGUGAAAUCCCCGGGCUCAACCCGGGAACUGCGUCCGAUACUGGCAGGCUUGAAUUCGGGAGAGGGAUGCGGAAUUCCAGGUGUAGCGGUGAAAUGCGUAGAUAUCUGGAGGAACACCGGUGGCGAAGGCGGCAUCCUGGACCGAGAUUGACGCUGAUGCGCGAAAGCCAGGGGAGCAAACGGGAUUAGAUACCCCGGUAGUCCUGGCCCUAAACGAUGAAUGCUUGGUGUGGCGGGUAUCGAUCCCUGCCGUGCCGAAGCUAACGCAUUAAGCAUUCCGCCUGGGGAGUACGGUCGCAAGGCUGAA
rnacentral:rRNA from 1 species